rnacentral:lncRNA from 1 species
UAGGAGAGGGAGGAAGAGGGAAGAUGGCGGCGGCCGUGAACCAGCGUGGCCUUAACCAGCCAUAGUUAUGAUAUUAUAAGGCUCCUUUCCAUGUAGACCUGUGGGUGUCUGCCUGACCUGUAGUCUGAAGAUGCUCUUUCUGAAGUCUUAGGAGGGCCCCUCAGUGAGGAUGCCCGAAGCUGAAGGCUUUACUUCUGUUUCAAGGCAGUGAACAAGACGUGUGGUCUGAAGAUACACAACACCGAGACAGGACUGUGUGGUGCUCACAUGCCACGAGCAGAGUUCAAACAGCAUCCAAGCCCUAAAGACCAGAGCCAUGGACCAAUAUGGUGGAUGGCAUGUGUGCGCUUGUUCCAGAAGUGCUACUCAUCAUGGAGGCAAAUCCUGUGAGGACGUGGAAGACUUCACCUGGUUUCUCCGCUUUCCUCCCGGUGACACGGGGGAUACUUCGGGCAGAUACUGAACUGUCUGCUGCCAUUUACAGCCACAGUUACAUGGGAUUGUUUGUUCCUUCCCUGGGCUUCUACCUCUUCCUUGACUGGAACAGAAGCUAGGUGCUUAGAUAAACCUGGUCAAAUAUUUUAAAUCAGGAUUCUCUUUUUUUCUCAGCCUAAGAGCUUAAGUGGCUAUUUAUGUAGUUUUAUAAAUAAAAAAAAAAUUUUUUUAACAUCCUGAUCAUACCAUAGCCAUUUUAAAGAGGAGAAGAGACAUUUUAAAGAGCUAUGUGUGCUGCAUUAGACUACUGAAGAAAAAAAAUAGACCCAAGGAAUUAACAUUUCUGAGGAAUCUCAGAGAGAAGUUUUGUAAAAAAAAAAAAAAAAAAAAAAAGUAUUUAAUUGCAAUCCAGGCUUUCUACCCUGCCUUUGAUCAUUUAGUUUCUGGAAAAAAGACUCACAUAUCCUUUUUAUUUGUCAUAAGCCUUUAUCAGCACUAAUGUUGGGCAGAGAUCUACCCUCUAUGCUAUUAAGAUCUAUUUCCUAUUGAUAACCCCAGAGCUAUUACUCUGUUUCAUUUGGGCUGCUCUUAACUCCAAUUGGCCAACCCUCAGGGCCAUGCUAAGUUGAAUAUUAACCCAUGGCAUCUUUAUCCUCUCUCCACCUUCUCUCUUCCUUUCUGGUCUUCUCGAACCCCACGGCCCAGAACACCAAGCCCCGCCCAUCUCAAUUCUGCCCUGUUAUUGGCUGUUGGUAUCUUUAUUCAUCAGAAAUAACUUGGGGGCAAGGUCACAUAGCAUCACUUGGGUCUGCAUCCAGACUCUCUCAUCUUCGGGGCAACCAGAUCUUAGGGGGCCUGCACUUUGCAUUACAGUACAUAGCAAGAGACCAAACCUCGACAGGGAAGGGAAAGGCUGGCAUCCUCAUGGCAGUCAGGGGAGGAAUUCGACACCCAGGAAAUGAUUUUACAAAGUUCUGACCACUUGACAGACUGACUUCAGGAGAGACAGAAGCUAAGGCAGUGAUGGCAGAGAUGCUCCUUUGACUGAACAGUGUGGCCAUGCAUAUCUCUUGCUCUCCAUUAAACCCAGACCUCGCUUCACUUUCCUGAAGAAGGACCCCUUU